UUUCCGUAGGUGAACCUGCGGAAGGAUCAUUAUUGUAUAACCGAGGUGCGAGGGCUGUCGCUGACCCGAAAGGUCCUGCACGCCCGAGUGCCCUCACACACAUCCAUCUCACCCCUAUGUGCACCACCGCGUGGGUCCCCCUUUGGCUUGUUCGGAGGGGUGCUUACGUUUUCACACAAACUUUGUAUGCAGUGUAGAAUGUAUUUUUUGUUUUUGCGAUCACGCAAUCAAUACAACUUUCAACAACGGAUCUCUUGGCUCUCGCAUGAUGAAGAACGCAGC
rnacentral:misc_RNA from 1 species